AACCUUAUCAAAUGCUAUCAAACCCCAUCAAACACUAUCAAACCCCAUCAAACACUAUCAAACCCUAUCAAACCCUAUCAAACCCUAUCAAACGCUAUCAAACGCUAUCAAACGCUUCCCCUGCUAUCCCCCAGUCUCGCUGACACUGACACUGGGCCGGCCUGCACCCACCCGGCCCCUGCUGAUCCGGGCCCCCGCCCCCCCCCCCCGCCCCGGACCCCAAACCCCCGGUCCUGAUCCUGGAUCCCAAAUCCUCGGCCCCGAUCCCGGAUCCCAAAUCCUCGGUCCUGAUCCUGGAUCCCAAAUCCUCGGCCCCGAUCCCGGAUCCCAAAUCCUCGGCCCCCAUCCUGGAUCCCAAAUCCUCGGCCCCCAUCCUGGAUCCCAAACCCUCGGCCCCGAUCCCGGAUCGCGGCCCCGCCCCGGGGCCCUGGCCGUGGCUCGGGAGGGAUUUUCGCACGGGAAGCACUACUGGGAAGUGGAGCUGGGAGGCGGCAGUGACUGGGAGCUGGGCGUGCUCCGGGAGGAGGUGCGGGAUUCCCUGCGGGAUUCCCUGAGGGAUUUCAUCCAGGAUUCCUUCCCGGAUUCCCUGCAGCAUCCCCUGCAGGAUCCCAUCCCAGAUUCCACCCUGGAUUCCCUGCGGGAUGAUUCCCUGCGGGAUGAUUCCCUGCGAGAUUCCCUUCGGGAUCCCAUCCCGGAUUCUCUGCAGGAUCCCCUGCAGAAUUCCACCCCAAAUUCCAUCCCAGAUACCAUCCUGAAUUCCCUGCGGGUUCCUAUCCCGGAUCCCAUCCCAAAUUCCAUCCCAAAUUCCAUCCCGAAUUCCAUCCCAGAUCCCGUCCCCAGUUCCCUGCGGGAUCCCAUCCCAGAUCCCAUCCCGAAUUCCAUCCCAAAUUCCAUCUCGAAUUCCAUCCUGGAUCCCAUCCUAGAUCCCAUCCUGGAUCCCAUCCCGGAUCCCAUCUCAGAUUCCCUGCAAGAUUCCAUUCAGGAUCCCAUCCCAAAUUCCAUCCCGGAUCCCAUCCCCGAUUCCCUGAGGGAUCCCAUCCCAAAUCCCAUCCCAAAUCCCAUCCCCGAUUCCCUGAGGGAUCCCAUCCCAAAUCCCAUCCCAAAUCCCAUCCCCGAAUUCCAUCCCAGACCUCGUUCCAGAUCCCAACCUGGAUCCCAUCCCGGAUCCCAUCCCCAGUUCCCUGAAGGAUCCCAUCCCAAGUUCCAUCCCAAGUUCCAUCCCAGACCCCGUCCCGGAUCCCGUCCUGGAUCCCAUCCAGGAUCCCAUCCCCAGUUCCCUGAAGGAUCCAUCCCCAAGUUCCUCCCAGUUCCAUCCCAGACCCCGUCCCGGAUCCCGUCCUGGAUCCCAUCCCGGAUCCCAUCCCCAGUUCCCAGCGGGAUCCCAUCCCGUAUCCCAUCCCAGAUCCCAUCCCCAGUUCCAUCCCAGACGCCAUCCCGGAUCCCAUCCCCAGUUCCCAGCGGGAUGAUCCCUUCUCCUCCGUCGCCGAGGAAGCGGCGCCAGCCCUGGGGUGUUCCCGGGGGGAAUUCCGGCUGCGGGGC
rnacentral:lncRNA from 1 species